rnacentral:rRNA from 1 species
GACGAACGCUGGCGGCGUGCCUAAUACAUGCGAGUAGAACGCACAGUUUAUACCGUAGCUUGCUACACCAUAGACUGUGAGUUGCGAACGGGUGAGUAACGCGUAGGUAACCUGCCUGGUAGCGGGGGAUAACUAUUGGAAACGAUAGCUAAUACCGCAUAAUAUUGAUUAUUGCAUGAUAAUUGAUUGAAAGAUGCUAUUGCAUCACUACCAGAUGGACCUGCGUUGUAUUAGCUAGUAGGUGAGGUAACGGCUCACCUAGGCGACGAUACAUAGCCGACCUGAGAGGGUGAUCGGCCACACUGGGACUGAGACACGGCCCAGACUCCUACGGGAGGCAGCAGUAGGGAAUCUUCGGCAAUGGACGAAAGUCUGACCGAGCAACGCCGCGUGAGUGAAGAAGGUUUUCGGAUCGUAAAGCUCUGUUGUAAGAGAAGAACGGGUGUGAGAGUGGAAAGUUCACACUGUGACGGUAUCUUACCAGAAAGGGACGGCUAACUACGUG